UUAGUUGCCAGCAUUUAGUUGGGCACUCUAAGGGGACGUGCCGGUGAUAAGCCGAGAGGAAGGUGGGGAUGACGUCAAGUCCUCAUGGCCCUUACGGGCUGGGCUACACACGUGCUACAAUGGUGGUGACAGUGGGCAGCGAGCACGCGAGUGUGAGCUAAUCUCCAAAAGCCAUCUCAGUUCGGAUUGCACUCUGCAACUCGAGUGCAUGAAGUUGGAAUCGCUAGUAAUCGCGGAUCAGCAUGCCGCGGUGAAUACGUUCCCGGGCCCU
rnacentral:rRNA from 1 species